ACUUGAGCGCCGCAACUAAAGCUGCGAUUUCACGGAGAUAUGUGUAGAUAUUUCCCCCUCUUCCAUCAGUAUAGCUGAAAUCAAAGUGGCAGGAAAAUUUAUAUUUCAAUAUCUCGCCGCAACUGUCUCCUACUUUUUCAUAGAGCGUGAAAUAUCGGGAUAUAAUCAGUUGAAAUUUUAAAAUAUAUAUCUGUAUACUGGCGUGUGACAGCCAACCUGUGUUGACAACUGAAUGUAUGGAUUGAAAAAUUAGACAAAUAAUUCAUUUAAUGCUUGAAUGGAGGACGAUUUGAGUGACGAACAUUUAGCAAAUAUAUGCGGAAAUGUAGUAUACGCAAGUAAUGUAAUAUAUCGCAAGUAAUAUUAGAACAGAUUAGAUGACGACAUGUCGCUGCAAUACUUAAAAAAAAAAAUGCAAGAAGGAGGCCAUACAAGAAAAAACAGCAUUGGAUAGCACCACUCUUUCAAACACUUCAGUUUUCAAGUGUUUGCAACGCAAUUAGAAGCUUUAUUGUCUAGUGUUGGCCCUCAAUUGCAAAAGCAAAAUUUUAUAAAAGAGGCUAUAACACCUGCAGAACGCUUGGCAGUAACGUUGAAAUAUUUGGCAUCUGGUGAUUCCAUAACAUCUGACGUUCCAAUAUCUUAUGGGGAAAACGACAGUGUGUAAAUCAUAUACAAAACAUGUUCAGUAAUUUGAAACGCUCUGCAUCCUAUGGUUUUAUUAGGUAUACAACUUUGCCUCCGCCGUUUUUUUCCGAAAUU